rnacentral:rRNA from 1 species
UUAUCUCUUUACACGGCGGAUCCGUCCUCCACUCAUCCUCCUCUCAGUCUAUCUCUUUUCUCUUCUCCAUUAAAUUUCUCAACACCGCACGACGAGCUCGUCCAUGUCUCCGCUGACGGCGCAGCCAUCUGCUGCUGCUCCGACCGGGAGACACUGCGAGCCUGGGUCAGGAGAUGGAGCUCUGUAGCUGGUUAACCCCUUCCCUGCCCACGCUACAAGGGGGAAGCACCUUAGUGCAAGGAAGACGACGAGGCCCCGCGGCCGGGGAGCAGCCGGCCGGAGAUGUUUCAACCGGCGGGGUCGGCGGAGAGUGGGGUGCGUGUCAUUAUGAUUUUUGCUACAACCGUGUCCAAUGUUGCUACUAUUGACAAAAAAAAUUGCUACAAGGAUUUCAUAGCGAAGCUACAACAGCGACGGUGGUGACGAAAUUUUGCUACAUCCAUUGCCAGAUUUUGCUACGACGGGCGAGAUUUUUUGAUACAAUGAUUUUAUGGUGAAGCUGCAAUCGCAAUGGCAGUGACGAAGUUUUACUGCAUCCAUCGUCGGAUUUUGUUGGAAGCUACAACCGCCUGCCAGCGAUGCUGGAACCGGCAGUGCGAGGAGCUGCGAGCGGCACACGUCGAUGCUACAACCGCCUGGGCGUGAAGCUACGACCCCCAGCAUCCUUUGCUGGAAGCGGUCACCGGCGAUGCUACAACCUUCAUCGACGGAUGCUACAACCAUCAACGACAAGAGCUACAAGCAGCGAUGGCGAGAUAGAACGUCGUGAUCAUGGAGUCGAUUUUGCUGGGAUGGUGGACGGCGGUGGUGGCGGAGCUGCAACGACGACCGGGGGCGGAGAUGCAAUGGUGUGCCCUCCUAUUGGAACCACGGGGCGCUCGGGCACAACGGCGGAGACGUCGCGCGUGACGACGGCGGCUUGUUGCGGCGCGCCGACACGAGCAACCGACGACAAGCACGGCCACAGGGCGGCCAAGGAGCGUUUGCUGCGUGGCCAUGCGGGAGGCCAACGAGCGCGGAUGAAGACGAGUGGUUGCGCUGGGCUCUAUCCUCUUUCAUUUUUUUUCUUUUUUUGCUUUUCCUGUGAGAUGAACGAAGGAACCUAUGGUUAAAAAGUGGCGUAUCCUAUCGUAGCGCAGCAACCGGCCCAAAUUUGGGCCGGUGCGCCGGCGCGUAUCACUCGCCAUAUAAGAAAAUACAUGUGUGCUAG